AACGGAGGGGGCGAGCGUUAUUCAUCAUUAUUGGGCGUAAAGGGUAUGUAGGCGAAUUUCUUAGGUUGCUGAAAAGAACAGUUUUGCAUAACUGUUGCAACGCAAUUGCGAAAUUUUGAAAAUCAUUAAAGUUAGCAGAAUUACUAAUGUAGAGGUAAAAUUCGGUAAUAUUAGUAGGAAUACCAAGGGCGAAAGCAGCUUUCUAUUAUUUUUGACGCUGAUGUACUAAAGCAUGGGGAUCAAACAGG
rnacentral:rRNA from 1 species